GACGUAGGGCGCGAGCGUUGUCCGGAUUUAUUGGGCGUAAAGAGCUCGUAGGCGGCUUGUCGCGUCGGCUGUGAAAACUCACAGCUCAACUGUGGGCGUGCGGGCGAUACGGGCAGACUGGAGUACUGCAGGGGAGACUGGAAUUCCUGGUGUAGCGGUGGAAUGCGCAGAUAUCAGGAGGAACACCGGUGGCGAAGGCGGGGUCUCUGGGCAGUAACUGACGCUGAGGAGCGAAAGCGUGGGGAGCGAACAGG
rnacentral:rRNA from 1 species